UACGGAGGGUGCAAGCGUUGUUCGGAUUUACUGGGCGUAAAGGGCGUGUAGGCGGUUGGCUAAGUCAGAUGUGAAAUCCCUUGGCUUAACCAAGGAACGGCAUUUGAAACUAGCUAACUAGAGUACAGGAGAGGAAAGUGGAAUUCCCAGUGUAGAGGUGAAAUUCAUAGAUAUUGGGAGGAACACCGGUAGCGAAGGCGGCUUUCUGGUCUGAUACUGACGCUGAGACGCGAAAGCGUGGGUAGCAAACAGGAUUAGAAACCCUGUAGUCC
rnacentral:rRNA from 1 species